rnacentral:lncRNA from 1 species
CUCUGAGGACAGGUGUCAAUCCAUAUCUGCCAAGUGACCCUAUGUAGGAGGAACAGUCCCUAUUCUGCUCUGUGUCAGUGUGUAUCAUGGUCUCUGAGGACAGGUGUCAAUCCAUAUCUGCCAAGUGACCCUAUGUAGGGGGAACAGUCUCUAUUCUGCUCUGUGUCAGUGUGUAUCAGGGAUCUUAGGAUAGGUGUCAAUCCAUAUCUGCCAAGUGACCCUAUGUAGGGGGAACAGUCCCUAUUCUGCUCUGUGUCAGUGUGUAUCAGGGAUCUCUUAGGAUAGGUGUCAAUCCAUAUCUGCCAAGUGACCCUAUGUAGGGGAACAGUCUCUAUUCUGCUCUGUGUCAGUGUGUAUCAGGUCUCUGAGGACAGGUGUCAAUCCAUAUCUGCCAAGUGACCCAUGUAGGGGGAACAGUCUCUAUUCUGCUCUGUGUCAGUGUGUAUCAUGGGCUCUGAGGACAGGUGUCAAUCCAUAUCUGCCAAGUGACCCUAUGUAGGGGGAACAGUCUCUAUUCUGCUCUCUGUCAGUGUGUAUCAUGGUCUCUGAGGACAGGUGUCAAUCCAUAUCUGCCAAGUGACCCUAUGUAGGGGGAAGAGUCCCUAUUCUGCUCUAUGUCAGUGUUUAUCAGGGAUCCUUAGGAUAGGUAUCAAUCCAUAUCUGCCAAGUGACCCUAUGUAGGGGGAACAGUCCCUAUUCUGCUCUGUGUCAGUGUGUAGCAGGGAUCUUUAGGAUAGGUGUCAAUCCAUAUCUGCCAAGUGACCCUAUGUAGGGGUAACAGUCCCUAUUCUGCUCUGUGUCAGUGUGUAUCAGGGGCUCUGAGGACAGGUGUCAACCCAUAACUGCCAAGUGACCCUAUGUAGGGGGAACAGUCUCUAUUCUGCUCUCUGUCAGUGUGUAGCAUGGUCUCUGAGGACAGGUGUCAAUCCAUAUCUGCCAAGUGACCCUAUGUAGGGGGAACAGUCUCUAUUCUGCUCUGUGUCAGUGUGUAUCAUGGGCUCUGAGGGCAGGUGUCAAUCCAUAUCUGCCAAGUGACCCUAUGUUGGAGGAACAGUCCCUAUUCUGCUCUGUGUCAGUGUGUAUCAGGGACCCUUAGGAGAGGUGUCAAUCCAUAUCUGCCAAGUGUAGGGGGAACAGUCCCUAUUCUGCUCUGUGUGAGGAGGAGGAACGGGAAAUGAGUAGCUUGGCAUCCAACCUUGUGCAUAUGGGGUCUUUCAUGCUGUCGUGCCUGUUGAGGGACCCUCGUAUAAAAAGGCUGAAGGAGAACGACCUGUGCUGGGUGUCCACGCUACUAGACCCCCCGGAAUAAGCAGACAGUGGCGGAAAUGUUACCGAAUUACAAGUCAGAAAGGAUGCAGCAUUUGCAAAAUAAAUUAAAAAGUAUGCUUUACACAGCGUAUAAGGGUGAUGUCACAGCACAACGGGAAUCUAACAGGGGAAGAGGUGAAAGUCAUCCUCCUCCUCCCACAACCACGCCAUAUCUGCCAAGUGACCCUAUGUAGGGGUAACAGUCUCUAUUCUGCUCUGUGUCAGUGUGUAUCAGGGAUCCUUAGGAUAGGUGUCAAUCCAUAUCUCCCAAGUGACCCUAUGUAGGGGGAACAGUCCCUAUUCUGCUCUGUGUCCGUGUGCAUCAGGGGCUCUGAGGACAGGUGUCAAUCCAUAUGUCAAGGUGUCAAUAUGUCAUAUGUCAGGUGUCAAUCCAUAUUCAUUGUGAUUUAGGAAUGUUAGGUGAUUUCUGCCCUUUAUGGAAAACCAGACUCUGCAUCAACUGUGUAAUUUUCCAUGGGAGUUUUGCCAUGGAUCCCCCUCCGGUAUGCCACAGUCCAGGUGUUAGUCCCCUUGAAACAACUUUUCCAUCACUAUUGUGGCCAGAAAGAGUCCCUGUGUUUUAAAAUUCGCCUGCCCAUUGAAGUCUAUGGCGGUUCGCCCAGUUCGCGAACAUUUGCGGAAGUUCGCGAACCGAAAAUUUCGUGUUCGCGACAUCACUAGUGAAGUGUUAUGUGUGGAGUGUUUCCCUUUUCAUUUUACAAAAUGAGCAUAUAUCAAUAGAAAAUUGCACUUUUAUAAAUGAACCUUGGCCUUUACUGAGUGUAAAACUGCAGCAUUCGAGAACUGCAUAAUUUCACAAUGUUCAAUAGGUAGCACAAUGGCAACCAGGGCUCCCACCAGAAAUUCUGGGGCCUCUCACACAGCCCCAGAAUUUCUGGUGGUCUGCCCAGAAGGAUAGUGUGUUUGUGUGGUAGGAUAUGGGCUGUGUUACAUCUUAUUCCCCUCACAAGGCGACAUUACACUCCCUGGUGGUCCACUGGCAUCGUGAAGGCUGCUAGCUGUCUUGUAUAGUUGAGAAGGGGGGGGGAGAAUGUUACAUGGCAUUUUACACUUCCGACAGGCAGCAAGUCCUUUUGUGAGCCCAGCAUGCGUGUAAUUGCUGUGGUAACAAGUGGCUUGCAAGAGGAUCUGUCAGAGGUGGAACUAGGAGUCUCCUGGGACCCCUUUUCGCAUGCAAGUAGUGACCAAUGGGCUCGCAGCAGAGUGUGUGAGUAUUUUAUAUAUAUAUAUAUAUAUAUAUAUAUAUAUAAAAAAGGAAAAAAAUAAUCCUGCACUCCAUGAAAUUCAAAAUAUUGUCAGGCGAAAAUACUCAAUGGAUAAUCCAGAUAGCACUCCUAGGACUUAAAAUAAGUAUAAAACCUAACUUUUAAUUUACUUUAUAAAUAAAUCGACAUUUGUCUGUUACAACAGACUUUCAUCAGGUCCUAAUGACACAAUGCAAAUUAGUAGUGUUUGUUGCAUUUAUACAUAAUAUAUUAAAGGGACACUAUAGUCACCUAAAUUACUUUAGCUAAAUAAAGCAGUUUUAGUGUAUAGAUCAUUCCCCUGCAAUUUCACUGCUCAAUUCACUGUCAUUUAGGAGUUAAAUCACUUUGUUUCUGUUUAUGCAGCCCUAGCCACACCUCCC